rnacentral:rRNA from 1 species
UACGGGGGGGGCAAGCGUUGUUCGGAAUUACUGGGCGUAAAGGGCUCGUAGGUGGCCAACUAAGUCAGACGUGAAAUCCCCAGGCUCAACUUGGGAACUGCGUCUGAUACUGGAUGGCUUGAAUUCGGGAGAGGGAUGCAGAAUUCCAGGUGUAGCGGUGAAAUGCGUAGAUAUCUGGAGGAAUACCGGUGGCGAAGGCGGCAUCCUGGACCGACAUUGACGCUGAGGAGCGAAAAGCUAGGGGAGCAAACGGGG